rfam:Salmo salar isolate Sally breed double haploid chromosome ssa11, whole genome shotgun sequence.
GUGUUUCCAAUUUGUAAGUCGCUCUGGAUAAGAGCGUCUGCUAAAUGACGUAAA